rnacentral:rRNA from 1 species
UACGUAGGUGGCGAGCGUUAUCCGGAAUUAUUGGGCGUAAAGAGCGCGCAGGUGGUUGAUUAAGUCUGAUGUGAAAGCCCACGGCUUAACCGUGGAGGGUCAUUGGAAACUGGUCGACUUGAGUGCAGAAGAGGGAAGUGGAAUUCCAUGUGUAGCGGUGAAAUGCGUAGAGAUAUGGAGGAACACCAGUGGCGAAGGCGGCCUCCUGGUCUGUAACUGACACUGAGGCGCGAAAGCGUGGGGAGCAAACAGGAUUAGAUA